UAGGGAAUCUUCGGCAAUGGACGAAAGUCUGACCGAGCAACGCCGCGUUAGUGAAGAAGGUUUUCGGAUCGUAAAACUCUGUUGUUAGAGAAGAACAAGGACGUUAGUAACUGAACGUCCCCUGACGGUAUCUAACCAGAAAGCCACGGCUAACUACGUGCCAGCAGCCGCGGUAAUACGUAGGUGGCAAGCGUUGUCCGGAUUUAUUGGGCGUAAAGCGCGCGCAGGCGGAUUCUUAAGUCUGAUGUGAAAGCCCCCGGCUCAACCAGGGAGGGUCAUUGGAAACUGGGAGACUUGAGUGCAGAAGAGGAGAGUGGAAUUCCAUGUGUAGCGGUGAAAUGCGUAGAUAUAUGGAGGAACACCAGUGGCAAAGGCGGCUCUCUGGUCUGUAACUGACGCUGAGGCGCGAAAGCGUGGGGAGCAAACAGG
rnacentral:rRNA from 1 species